rnacentral:rRNA from 1 species
UACAGAGGGGGCAAGCGUUAUUCGGAAUUAUUGGGCGUAAAGGGCGCGUAGGCGGCUUUUCAAGUGACGGGUGAAAUCCCUCGGCUUAACCGAGGAACUGCCUGUCAGACUGGAAGGCUUGAGACCGGGAGAGGUGAGUGGAAUUCCCAGUGUAGCGGUGAAAUGCGUAGAUAUUGGGAGGAACACCAGUGGCGAAGGCGGCUCACUGGACCGGAACUGACGCUGAGACGCGAAAGCGUGGGGAGCAAACAGG